rnacentral:rRNA from 1 species
UAGGGAAUAUUGGACAAUGGGGGCAACCCUGAUCCAGCCAUGCCGCGUGAGUGAAGAAGGCCCUCGGGUUGUAAAGCUCUUUUGUCCGGAAAGAAAAGCUUCGGGUUAAUACCCCGGGGUUCUGACGGUACCGGAAGAAUAAGCACCGGCUAACUUCGUGCCAGCAGCCGCGGUAAUACGAAGGGUGCAAGCGUUACUCGGAAUUACUGGGCGUAAAGCGUGCGUAGGUGGUUGUUUAAGUCUGAUGUGAAAGCCCUGGGCUCAACCUGGGAAUGGCAUUGGAAACUGGGCAGCGAGAGUGCGGUAGAGNGUAGUGGAAUUCCCGGUGUAGCAGUGAAAUGCGUAGAGAUCGGGAGGAAUAUCUGUGGCGAAGGCGACUGCCUGGACCAGCACUGACACUGAGGCACGAAAGCGUGGGGAGCAAACA